GAGGAGUUCGAAAAAGUAGGUUUUCAACUUUAAUCAAAAUGGCGGACAGGAAGUAUGGCCAAUUUUGGAAUAAUUGGUAUCGAUGUUCUCGGCAUGACCCAAAGAAUAUAGGGAGACCACUUUCUUUUUAAUAGUCUAAUUUUUUCAAAAGUUAUUAGCAUUUUUUAGAUAUUUCAUUAUAACUUUUGACCACAAGGUGGCGCUGGCACCAAACUUUUUGAGUAGCUUCAGGGCAUGGAGCCAAACAUUUUUGUAAUUAUUUUCGUAACGAUACGAUAAUGCGUUCAAAAAAUACAGCAUUUUAAAACAUAAUUCAAAAUGGCCGACACCUAAAAUGGCCGACACGGGAAAAUUGGAUAUCAUUCGACUUGCCAUGACCCACCGAAUCUAAUGAGACCAGUUUUGUGAUUUUUGGCCAAACCAUUCAGAAGUUAUAAGCAAAAAUAUGCAUUUUUCAUAUCUCCUGACCACUAGGUGGCGCUGCGUCGAAACACUGCAGGUAGUCUCAGGUCAUGCUUGUUAUAACACGCACCAAGUUUGGUCUCAAUACGCCAAACCGUUGCGGAGUUAUAGCCUCACAAGCAUUUUUGCGUGCUUUUCGUAGAAUUUUUUCACGUGUUAUUCGAGAACGGUUGGACGAAUCAACUUGAAUUCCAUAACUUUUUGCCAGCAUCAUCUGAAGAUGAUCUGAGCCAAUUUUCGUGAAAAUCGGACUAACCGUCUAGGACGAGUUCGAAAAAGUAGGUUUUUCGAACAAUUGAAAAUAGCGAAAAAACUAAACCUUGCGAUUUUUGAAUUUCGGGGUUCAUUCGACUUGGCCUGAGCCAAGGAUUCAGAGGAAAAAAGAAUUUUCAUUUUCUGGCUUACGGUUCAAAAGUUAUUAGCAUAAAAUUAUUGAAACUUUGGACAAGUGGUGGCGCUAGAGAGUUGGAGUUAGAGACUUCAAAUUUGCUACAGUUAAUGCAUGGACUGUCCUCUAUCAGUGUGCCAAAUUAUACAACUUUCCCGCAAUCGGUUCUAUGGGCUGCCAUAGACUUGCGGCGGAAGAAGAAGAAGAAGAAUAAUAUAGCUGCAAGCAGCAAUUACGGGGCCAAGCACUCCAGAGGCAAAUUGAAGAGCUAAACAUGGCAUGGAGCAACAGACCAACUGCAGAAAUGAGUAACUGAAGCAAUUUUAGGAUGACUGUAAUUGAAAUGGCUGAAAAAAACAUAAAUACAACCACUAGUAAUAUCAUUAAAUGGCUUAUCACUUUUGACCAACAGGUGGCGCUGUAAUCAAAUAGUUUUGGUGUGUGAGGUUUGAGGUGACAAUGUCACACACAAAGUUUGUUGUUAUUAUGUCAAAGCUUUGAAGAGAUGCAGGCUGAAGUGUCAUUUUGGCAUCAUGCCUGAAAUUUGUCACUGUGGUAUGCGAAAACGGUUUUGUCUAUCAAUACAAAAUCCAUAACAUUUUGUCAGCACAGUCUGAAGAUCAUCUGAUUCAAUUUUGGUGAAAAUCGGACCAACGGUUGAUGAGGAGUUCGAAAAAGUAGGUUUUCAACAUAAAUCAAAAUGGCGGAUAGGAAGUUCAGCUUACUCUGGCAUAUUUGGUAUCUAUGUUGUCGGCAUAAGCCAGGGAAUAUUUUGAGACCAAUUUCAUUGCAAUAGGCUAAUGCAAUAAAAAGUUAUUAGCAUUUUUAUAAGUGUAAUUUUUAAUGGUUAAUGAAUGGUUUAUAACUCUUGACCAAUAG
ensembl:lncRNA